AUUGAACGCUGGCGGCAGGCCUAACACAUGCAAGUCGAACGAGUGGCGGACGGGUGAGUAAUGUAUGGGAAACUGCCCGAUGGAGGGGGAUAACUCCUGGAAACGGUAGCUAAUACCGCAUACCCUCGGAUGUGCCCACAUGGGAUUUGCUAGUAGGGGGGGUAACUGCUCACCUAGGCGACGAUCCCUAGCUGGUCUGAGAGGAUGACCAGCCACACUGGAACUGAGACACGGUCCAGACUCCUACGGGAGGCAGCAGUGGGGAAUAUUGCACAAUGGGCGCAAGCCUGAUACAGCCAUGCCGCGUGUAUGAAGAAGGCCUUCGGGUUGUAAAGUACUUUCAGCGAGGAGGCGUUACUCGCAGAAGAAGCACCGGCUAACUCCGUGCCAGCAGCCGCGGUAAUUC
rnacentral:rRNA from 1 species